rnacentral:piRNA from 1 species
UAUCAAUUCAUAAUUUUACAUUGGGUGAC